GAUCAUGGCUCAGGAUGAACGCUAGCUACAGGCUUAACACAUGCAAGUCGAGGGGCAGCAUAAUCGAAGCUUGCUUUGAUGAUGGCGACCGGCGCACGGGUGAGUAACGCGUAUCCAACCUUCCCUGUAGUAGAGAAUAGCCCGGCGAAAGUCGGAUUAAUGCUCUAUGUUGUAUUUCGAUGACAUCUGAAGAAUACCAAAGGUUUACCGCUAUAGGAUGGGGAUGCGUCUGAUUAGGUUGUUGGCGGGGUAACGGCCCACCAAGCCGACGAUCAGUAGGGGUUCUGAGAGGAAGGUCCCCCACAUUGGAACUGAGACACGGUCCAAACUCCUACGGGAGGCAGCAGUGAGGAAUAUUGGUCAAUGGACGGAAGUCUGAACCAGCCAAAGUAGCGUGCAGGAUGACGGCCCUAUGGGUUGUAAACUGCUUUUAUAUAGGGAUAAAGUCGGGGACGUGUCCCCGUUUGUAGGUACUAUAUGAAUAAGGACCGGCUAAUUCCGUGCCAGCCGCGGC
rnacentral:rRNA from 1 species